rnacentral:rRNA from 1 species
UACGUAGGGGGCAAGCGUUGUCCGGAAUCAUUGGGCGUAAAGAGCGUGUAGGCGGCUCGAUAAGUCUGCUGUGAAAGUCCAGGGCUCAACCCUGGGAUGCCGGUGGAUACUGUCGGGCUCGAGUCCGGAAGAGGAGUGUGGAAUUCCUGGUGUAGCGGUGAAGUGCGCAGAUAUCAGGAGGAACACCAAUGGCGAAGGCAGCACUCUGGGACGUGACUGACGCUGAGACGCGAAAGCGUGGGGAGCAAACAGG